UGUCUCCUACGGGACGCAGCAGUGAGGAAUAUUGGUCAAUGGGCGGGAGCCUGAACCAGCCAAGUCGCGUGAGGGAAGACGGUCCUAUGGAUUGUAAACCUCUUUAGGCGGGGAGCAAUGCCGGGCACGCGUGCCCGGAGGGAGAGUACCCGCGGAAUAAGCAUCGGCUAACUCCGUGCCAGCAGCCGCGGUAAUACGGAGGAUGCGAGCGUUAUCCGGAUUUAUUGGGUUUAAAGGGUGCGUAGGCGGAUUUUUAAGUCAGCGGGAAAAUGUCCGGGCUCAACCCGGGCCGGCCGUUGCAACUG
rnacentral:rRNA from 1 species